UUCCGGUUGAUCCCGCCGGACCCGACUGCUAUCGGAGUGGGACUAAGCCAUGCGAGUNGUACGUCCGGGCUGGCGGGACGUGGCGUACGGCUCAGUAACACGUGGCCAACCUACCCUGCGGACGGCUAUAACCCCGGGAAACUGGGGCUAAUAGCCGAUAGUGGAUAGGCGCUGGAAGGCCCUAUCCCCGAAAAGGCUACACACCCAUGCCGUGUGUAGCCGCCGCAGGAUGGGGCUGCGCCCUAUCAGGUAGUAGGUGGGGUAACGGCCCACCUAGCCUAUAACGGGUGCGGGCCCUGGGAGGGGGAGCCCGGAGAUUGGGCACUGAGACAAGGGCCCAGGCCCUACGGGGCGCAGCAGGCGCGAAACCUCCGCUAUGCGCGAAAGCGCGACGGGGCCACUCCGAGUGCCGCCCGCUGAGGGCGGCUUUUGCCCAGUCCAAAAGGCUGGGCGAAUAAGGGGAGGGCAAGAUUGGUGUCAGCCGCCGCGGUAAUACCAACUCCCCGAGUNGUCGGGACGAUUAUUGGGCUUAAAGCGUNCGUAGCCGGUCGGGUGUGUCGUCGGUUAAAUCCGACGUCUCAAGCGUCGACUGCNGGCGAUACUAACCGGCUAAGGAGCGGGAGAAGCGGCGGUAUUUCC
rnacentral:rRNA from 1 species